GAUGAACGCUGGCGGCGUGCUUAACACAUGCAAGUCGAACGAAGCACUUUAUUUGAUUUCCUUCGGGACUGAUUAUUUUGUGACUGAGUGGCGGACGGGUGAGUGACGCGUGGGUAACCUGCCUUGUACAGGGGGAUAACAGUUGGAAACGGCUGCUAAUACCGCAUAAGCGCACGGCAUCGCAUGAUGCAGGGUGAAAAACUCCGGUGGUAUAAGAUGGACCCGCGUUGGAUUAGCUAGUUGGUGAGGUAACGGCCCACCAAGGCGACGAUCCAUAGCCGACCUGAGAGGGUGACCGGCCACAUUGGGACUGAGACACGGCCCAAACUCCUACGGGAGGCAGCAGUGGGGAAUAUUGCACAAUGGGCGAAAGCCUGAUGGAGCGACGCCGCGUGCAGGAAGAAGGCCUUCGGGUUGUAAACUGCUUUUGCGUGGGAAGAAAUUUGACGGUACCACGAGAAUAAGGGGUUGCUAACUCUGUGCCAGCCGCCGCAGUAA
rnacentral:rRNA from 1 species